CACCAUUAGUUGGGCAAACUGCUUCACAGGGAAGCUAGCUUUACAAUUAAGAAAAGGAUCUAUUGCCUAA
rnacentral:lncRNA from 1 species